rnacentral:snoRNA from 1 species
UGAAAAGUACUGUUUUAUUGCCUUAGGUAAUUUUUAAGAAAACUUCCAAGAGCAGAGAGAAUUCGUGUACGCACAGCACGAAGGUACGAUGCGCACUGAAUGGUGGCCAGUUUGGAGCGUGAAACUUGGUUCAGUGAGACCAUUCGAUUCUUUCGGAUGGACUUCGGGCUUUUGAUGAUCGGCUUCCUUGCAAUAAAACUGGCCGCGGUCUGAGUGGU